GGAAUUUAAAGCUUCUUUCAUCUCCCUUUUUUCAGCAAUGAGGAAACAGAAGCAGCAUGAGAUUGAGUUGUCCAAGGUCGUGAAGCCAAUAAAUGCUAACACGGAGACCAGAAAUAAUCCUAGGAGAAGUCAUGUAAAUAUUGUACAUAUUUGUGGAAAUAACAUAUAUACGAAUUUUAGAGUUGAACUUGAGCAAAGAAACCCCUGUGACACUGAGUGGGCCACCUCAGCUUGGCAGUGAAGCAAGUGGACAAGUUGGAAACGGAAUGUCUCAGCUGCUCUUAUCUUUGUAAAAGACCAUUAGUUUGCUUAAAGGCAAUAUUCCUUUAAGAUGUUUGACAAUUCACGAGCCAAGUCAAGAUGGGUUUGGGACCCUCCCAAGCCUCCAAAAUCAAUGAACAUGUUUACUUUUUGUUAUUAGUUAUAAGAAUAACACAUUUUUCAUUUGAGAAUAAGUUGUAGAGUCCAUGAUCUGGCUUUGAUAUAAAACAACAGUUAGAACUGAUUCAAGAUUAUCUUUCAAUGCAUAGGAUUAUACUAAUAUUAGUGUGAAGGGUUCACUGCAUAUGAGAAUU
rnacentral:lncRNA from 1 species